rnacentral:lncRNA from 1 species
GGGCACUGCUAAAAAUCCCACCAUACACAGGACAGCUCCCCACCACGUGGACCUAUCCAGCCUCCAAAUAUUAACAGGGCGUCUUGGGACCACCAGCGUGCUGCCAGGGAGCCAACUUCUGCCUGGUCAGCUAACUCCACCGUCCCAGAGCCUGGGGAAUAGCGAGGAGCGGCUGGAGACUGGCGCAUGAGAUCACCUCUCAUGGCGCGACGCUGCCUGAUCAGGGUGGCCGAGGCCCUGCUGGACUUGGAGAGAUACAAGCCCUAAACAGGGGGCUUUCUUCAUACUCAAGCAUCCAGCUGCCUUCUCUGGCCUAUCUCUCUCAGAAAAUGGACAGGAGGCUCCCGCCUGUGUCCCUGCUCCAAGACUUUCCUGCCCAGAGCACUGAGGCCCAAAUGAGAACAACCAAAAUAGGGCAGAGGCCAGAUCAGAGUCCACAUCUUAUCUUACUUUUUUGAACUCCCCUGCACCUUCCAGAUAAAACCUCCAUCUGCCCUUCCAAUGAUGUGACUUUGCUUCAACUUGCUUUUCAAUUUUCUUCUUUGAGACGGAGUCUUCCUUUGUCGCCCAGGCUGGAGUGCAGUGGCGCAAUCUUGGCUCACUGCAACCUCCGCCUCCUGAGUUCAAGCAAUUCUCCUUCCUCAGCCUCCUGAGUAGCUAGGAUUACAGGCAUGUGCCACCACACCCAGCUAAUUUUUGUAUUUUUGGUAGAGAUAGGGUUUCACUAUAUUGGCCAGGCUGGUCUCGAACUCCUGACCUUGUGAUCUGCCCACCUCAGCCUCCCAAAGUGCUGGGAUUACAGGCGUGAGCCACCACGCCCAGCCAACUUGCUUUUCUAACUGCCCCCCUUGUCCCUCUCAAAGCCCUGGACUCUUCAAAGUCCCUGCCCUCCUGCCACAUAGCCCACCUCCCACCCCAUCAACACUGACUCUGCCUCCCCCACCUCGUCCCCACUGACAAGCCCAAAUUUCACUGUUCCCUCUUUGGUCACUUCUGCCUCAGCGCUUCCGUUCAGCACUUACUGCAUUUGAAAUUCAAACAAAAGAAAAUGGCUUUAGGAAACUUUUUUUUUAACCAAAAAAAAAAAACUUCUUGUACUUUUUAAAAACCAGAAAAGUGUAGAGAAGAAAACAAAAGCCUUAAAAUGCUUCAUUCCUAGAAAGCCGCCGCUAACAGCUGGAGAACAUCCCUGCCCGUGUCUCAGCGCAAAUACACACCAAUAAAUCCAUGUUUCCAACUC